CACCGGCGGCUCGAGUGGUAACCGCUAUUAUUGGGUCUAAAGGGUCUGUAGCCGGCCGGAUAAGUCUCUUGGGAAAUCCAGCAGCUCAACUGUUGGGCUUCCAGGGGAUACUGUUCGGCUCGAGGCCGGGAGAGGUGAGAGGUACUUCAGGGGUAGGGGUGAAAUCUUGUAAUCCUUGAAGGACCACCAGUGGCGAAGGCGUCUCACCAGAACGGUCCUGACGGCAAGGGACGAAAGCUAGGGGCACGAACCGG
rnacentral:rRNA from 1 species